rnacentral:rRNA from 1 species
UACGUAGGUGGCGAGCGUUGUCCGGAAUUACUGGGCGUAAAGAGCGCGCAGGCGGCUGGUCAAGUCCGACGUGAAAUCUCCCGGCUUAACUGGGAAAUUGCAUCGGAAACUGAUCGGCUUGAAGGUGGGAGAGGGUAGCGGAAUUCCCGGUGUAGCGGUGAAAUGCGUAGAGAUCGGGUGGAACACCAGGGGCGAAGGCGGCUGCCUGGCCCUGACCUGACGCUGAGGCGCGAGAGCGUGGGGAGCAAACCGG